UAUAACAGUUAAUUACUGCUUCUUGUAUUAAUUUACAAAUAGCAUUUCCCCCUCCUGCAGGAAGAGCUGGAAAAGGAACAAUCUCAAAUGUUAGGAUCAGCAUCUCUCAGUACCUGCUGGAUAGAAUACAACAAUGGUGUUAUGCUGCCAAGGCAAACCCAGUUAUACUUCAAAGUUGCAUGGAAAGCAGAGAUGUCACAAUGAGAUUCCUUGAACAAAAAUCUUCUCUUUUGAAAGCAAGAAGUUGGCCAAACCCACCCAAACUGAAGAUUCUGAGUGGAAUAAAGCCCAGCUUCUUGAAACCUUUUCAGUCCAACCCAUGAAGUGAAAAGCAUUUAAAAAGAAAAAUAUGACCCGAUCUGAGAACUGUGGUUUCCAAGCUGCAACAAGAAAAGCCAAAGAUGGUUCCCCCUGACUGAACUUCCCCCCCAACUUGCACACCAGACACCGAAGUUCAGCUCCAGACCUGUCUCAUGGCUAUAAUAUGAAAUACAACAGCCCCAGUAACUAAGGCACAUCAGCUGUGCAGACAUUAUGCCCCACUGGAGACCACAGUUGUGCUCAUCACCCCAGCAGUGCAGAGGUUCAGCUCACCAUGUUCUGAGAUAUGUUGUUUCUCAUAACUCUUCCCUGUAAAUACCCAAGACAGCUAUAAAAAAAGGUGAGGCUGAAAGGUCAAACAAUUAGCUUUCCUACUUGUGAAGAAAUAGCUUUUCCAAGCUUAUUAAUGGAAAAAUACAGGAUGAGAUCGCCAGUUACCAUAAAUCAGUAUAACUCUUCUGAUUUCAGAAGGGCUGUGCUGUCUUAUACAAACAGAGAUUAUAUUGUCUGUAAUAUUAAAUUAUAAUAAAAAGUCUUACACUGA
rnacentral:lncRNA from 1 species